UUCAUUAGUGCCCUUCACACCAACAAUUGAAGAUCGACCAGAUCAGACUUGCACGUGUUGCUGCUGUCUUAUCAUCGACUGAAAAGACCACCAUGCAAAGUCCAGCGUGCGCGGCCACUCUGGGUGGUUCCCACAGGGUUCCAGAGAAUGCGCCCAAAGAGGGAGGAAGUCCCAAGACCGCAAUGCGGCCGGCAGACACUCGGGCUUCCUCUUCUGCA